rnacentral:lncRNA from 1 species
CUCAGAGCGCCGCCGCCUCAGCCGCCCCGCCGGAAGCCCCGCCCCCCGUCCCGCUCUCUGCCAUCUGAUUGGGCAGCGGCUCUGUCAAUCAACCCCGGCGCUUUCCGCCUGGCCAAGCCACGCCCCCACCCUCGCGCUGAAGGGGCGGGGCCGGAAUGAGGGCGCAUCUUAAAGGAGCCGCGUUAUUAUUUCGUGAGGGGAGUGAGGCUCCGCUGAGAGACAGAGAGAUAAAUAAAUAGAUUAAUAAACAAUUUGAGCUUCUGGUGAAGAAACGGGAACUCGUAUGGAGUUCACAUGGAAUUUACGUGGAAUUCACAUGGAAUUGGUGCGACAAUCCAACCCUCUGGGGCCUUUGGUAAAGGCCGGGCAUUUUUGGAGCCCCCAGAGAAUCAUUUCCCCUUCCAUUGGGGAAGGGGAAUAAAAGAUUGGCAGCUCUGUAAGGAUCUCAGACAGGAUUUUAUGGAAUGGGAUUUAGGAAUUUCCAUCUAAAAUCUGCUUUUCCCUUGUUUUUUCCAAGUGGGAAUUCUUUGCUGCAUUCCAAAUCUGAGUGACAGAGAAAUUCAGAGAAAACUGAUUUAUUUUUUUCCCAGGAAAAUUUGAAUUUAUUUGUCUGAAUUCCCUGAUCUCACCCUUGUUUCUAUGGAAUUGUGGAUUUGUGCUUUCUGUGGGAAAAAUUUCUGGUGUUUUUUUCUUGGAGCAGAGGGUUGUAAUGAAAGGAUUUUGUUUUACUUCCCAAACACCACCAAUGAAUGAGUUUCUGAAACAAGGGAGGUACAGGAUGAGUUUAUUUCCUAAAAUAAAAUGGGAUAUCUGAUAUCUCA